rnacentral:rRNA from 1 species
UCAGGAUGAACGCUAGCUACAGGCUUAACACAUGCAAGGUCGAGGGGUAGCAGGGUAGCAAUACCGCUGACGACCGGCGCACGGGUGAGUAACACGUAUCCAACCUUCCCAUAACUCAGGGAUAGCCUUUCGAAAGAAAGAUUAAUACCUGAUAGUACUUUUCAAGGCAUCUUGAAAAGUUAAGAUUAUUGGUUAUGGAUGGGGAUGCGUUCCAUUAGAUAGUUGGUGAGGUAACGGCUCACCAAGUCUUCGAUGGAUAGGGGUUCUGAGAGGAAGGUCCCCCACAUUGGUACUGAGACACGGACCAAACUCCUACGGGAGGCAGCAGUGAGGAAUAUUGGUCAAUGGGCGAGAGCCUGAACCAGCCAAGUAGCGUGAAGGAUGAAGGUCCUAUGGAUUGUAAACUUCUUUUAUAGUAGAAUAAAGUGAGCCACGUGUGGUUUUUGUAUGUAUACUAUGAAUAAGGAUCGGCUAACUCCGUGCCAGCAGCUGC